UCUCGAUUGCGUAAACGUUAACUCAUAUUUGUAUGGAAUGGGAUCAUUUACCUAUGUUUGCCGCUAGGGGCGCUGUUCCAACUGCAUACAAAAUUGGGCUAACUUUUACGCUAUCGA
rnacentral:pre_miRNA from 9 species